rnacentral:misc_RNA from 1 species
UGUGGGAGCGAGCCUGCUCGCGAUGAGGUCGUCACAUUCAACACAGAUGUUGACUGAUAGACCGCCAUCGCGAGCAGGCUCGCUCCCACA